CGUGUAUAGGGCGCUGGCAUUGCAAGCCGUGACAGGUAGUUUUUCUAGCAGAGUUUAUCAACAUUGCUCCGAGAGUUAAAGCUCUGUUUUACUCGUUCGAAACUAUUUUAAAUUCAUAAGAAAGUAAAUCUAAGACAAGAUUUCCAUACAAUCAUUCGUUUCAACUGUUUGUUUAGCCGUCGUCAGUGUCGUCCUGACUUCGUCGUCUUACAUUCGUAAACUCCCUAACGUCUACGACUUUCUCUGUUAUUCUCCAAGGCGCAUGGACAAGAUAACAGGCUGUAAA